rnacentral:tRNA from 2 species
GCCCCGAUGGUGAAACUGGUAGACGCAGGGCACUUAAAAUGCCCCGCCGAACGGCGUGCAAGUUCGAGUCUUGCUCGGGGCACCA